UAAUAAGUAAUAUGAGGACGUCAGCCUUGUAUGAAUAAGGGGGUACCAUCCUCCAAGGCUAAGUAUAAUAUAUCUAGCGAUAGUGGAGAGUAACGUGAGUGAAAGGUGAAAAGUAAGUAGAUGACUAGUGAAAUAGAACCUGAACUAGUAAUCCUAUAAGCAGUUGGAGUUUUAGUAAAAAAUGACAACGUACCUUUUGCAUAAUGGGUCAGCGAGUUAGUUUAUAGAGCAAGAUGAAUAAUCUAAGCGAAAGCAACUAUAAUAAGUGGAUCAAAAAUAGUUUUAUGAACUAGACCCGAAGCCAAAUGAUCUUACUAUGGCCAGGCUAAAAAAGGGCCGAACAGGUGAAUGUUGCAAAAUUCUCUGAUGAGCUGUGGUAAGGGGUGAAAGGCCAAUCUAAUUUGGAUGAUAGCUGGUAUUCUGCGAAACCUAUUUAGGUAGGGCCUUUAUUUACACUUUUAUAUGUACAGCACUGAUCAUCAUACAUUAGCCAGAUAUUUAUAUCACUAUGUUAAAUUGGGGGGUCUCACAACUCUACCAUUGAUGGUUAACCUCGGAAGGAUAAUAGUGAAUGAUAAGGGCACAGUCUAUUCAUGAUAAGGUGGAUAGACAAAAGGGAAACAGCCCAGAGCACGUGUUAAGGUCCCAAAAUAUUGUUAAGUGAAUAUAAGAAAGUUUAACUCCUAAUACAACCAUGAAGUAGGCUUGGAGGUAGCCAUCUUUUAAUGAUAGUGUAACAACUCAGUGGUCCAUGUUUCCCUAAUCCCUUACAGGGAUUAGGGAAACACAAAAAGAAAAAGAAAUUUUUCUUGCAGUUUCCUAGGAAACAGGAGGAGAUAAGCGUCGAAAAUUAACGGGUCUUAGACAAUAUACCUACACCGUGACUAUUUAUAAUAUAUUCUAUUUUUAUUAUAAAUAAGGGUAGCAGAACAUUCAGUAUCUGAUUGAAGGGAAAUGUUUCAUUUACUGGACAGUACUGAAGAGAAAAUGCUGACAUGAGUAACGUAGAAAGGAGUUAAAACACUCCUCGCCGAAUACGAGAGGGUUUCAUGGAAAAGUUAAUCUGCCAUGAGUUAUACGGACUCUAAGGAUUAUAUGACGAAUGUUUAUAUCUGAUGAGAAUAAUAACACUGAAUUAUCUAUAUAUAAUAUCAUUUAAUCUGUAUGAGAUUGUACAGAGUAAAGGAUAGAUCAAGAAAAAUAAGUGUCACUAAAUUUAUAGUGAAUCCGUACCCUAAACCGACACAGGUUCGUAGGUAGAGAAUACUAAGGCGUAGAGAUAAUGCUUGUGAAGGAACUCGGCAAAUUGUGCCCGUAAGUUAGACGAUAAGGGUAACCAGAAUAAAAUAAUUCUAUUCUAAUUCUGAGUGUCACAUAAUCGAGGGCUGCGACUGUUUACCAAAAACACAGCAACUUGCUAAGACGAAUAGUACUUGUAUAAGUUGUGAACUCUGCCCAAUGCCAUGUCGUGUAAAGAAGGUGAUUUAUUUAGUAGUUAUACUAAAUAGUGUCACUAACUGAUGCCAUGGUGAAUGGCGGUCUUAACUAUAAGGAUCUGAAAGUAGCGAAAUUCCUUGGCCAUUAAAUGUGGUCCUGCAUGAAUGAGGUAACGUGGCCCUGCUGUCUCCACAAGCAUCUCAGUGAAAUUGAAUUAGCCGUGCAGAUGCGGUUUACCUUCAGUUAGACGGGAAGACCCUAUGCAGCUUUACUGUAACUUGAUAUUGUUUCUUCUAUAGCUAAGUGUAGUAUACAAGGGAGUAGAUAUUUUCUACAUCAGUGAAAUACCUUGAUUAGUCUAAAGAAGAAACUUACCUAAAUGACACUAAUCGAAUAGUUCUUCAUGAGAUAUUGCGAAGAUCUCUAGUUUACGUCUCUAUAAAUUAAAUAGGAUUUAAUUUUCAUUUUUUUUUUCUAUUAGGUUUAUGGAAAGAGGAGUUUAUUCUCUUCUUUCCAUAAAUGGAAUAGAGGAAGAAUUCUUCCUCUAUUCCAUUUAUAAUACAGCCCCUUUUAUAUUUAUAAAAUAUAAGAUAAACUGUAUAUGAAUAAUUUAUUAAAUUUAGUAGUCUGGGAAAAUAUCAGGUGGUCAGUUUGACUGGGACGGUAGCCUCUAAUAAAGUAUCAGAGGCCUUCAAAGGUAUGCAUAUAUUGGUCAGAAACCAAUGAACUAUGUAAAGUUUAUUAAAGCGUAAUAGUAUAAGCAUGCUUGACUGAAAGACUGAUAGGUCGAUCAGAUACGCAAGUAGGAUAUAGUGAUCCGGUGAUUCAUUAUGGAAUGGUCAUCGCUCAAGAAAUAAAAGUUACGCUAGGGAUAACAGGUUUAUCGUUUGCGAGAGUUCAUAUUGUCCAAACGGUUUGACACCUCGAUGUCGACUCAUCUCAUCCUCCAGGUGUAGUAGCUUGGAAGGGUUCAGCUGUUCGCUGAUUAAAGAGGUACGCGAGUUGG
rnacentral:rRNA from 1 species